rnacentral:tRNA from 1 species
GGUCCUAUAGUGUAGUGGUUAUCACUUUCGGUUUUGAUCCGGACAACCCCGGUUCGAAUCCGGGUAGGACCUUUUUUUGCUA